rnacentral:rRNA from 1 species
AUUGAACGCUGGCGGCAUGCUUUACACAUGCAAGUCGAACGGUAACAGGCCGCAAGGUGCUGACGAGUGGCGAACGGGUGAGUAAUGCAUCGGAACGUGCCCAGUCGUGGGGGAUAACGCAGCGAAAGCUGUGCUAAUACCGCAUACGAUCUAUGGAUGAAAGCGGGGGACCGUAAGGCCUCGCGCGAUUGGAGCGGCCGAUGUCAGAUUAGGUAGUUGGUGGGGUAAAGGCCCACCAAGCCAACGAUCUGUAGCUGGUCUGAGAGGACGACCAGCCACACUGGGACUGAGACACGGCGCAGACUCCUACGGGAGGCAGCAGUGGGGAAUUUUGGACAAUGGGCGCAAGCCUGAUCCAGCAAUGCCGCGUGCAGGAAGAAGGCCUUCGGGUUGUAAACUGCUUUUGUACGGAACGAAAAGGUCUGGGUUAAUACCCUGGGCCGAUGACGGUACCGUAAGAAUAAGCACCGGCUAACAACGUGCCAGCCGCCGCCGUAA